rnacentral:rRNA from 1 species
GACGGACGCUGGCGGCGUGCUUAACACAUGCAAGUCGAACGGAAAGGCCCCAGCUUGCUGGGGUACUCGAGUGGCGAACGGGUGAGUAACACGUGGGUGAUCUGCCCUGCACUCUGGGAUAAGCCUGGGAAACUGGGUCUAAUACCGGAUAGGACCGUGCUUUAGUGUGUGCGGUGGAAAGUUUUUCGGUGCAGGAUGAGCCCGCGGCCUAUCAGCUUGUUGGUGGGGUAAUUGCCUACCAAGGCGGCGACGGGUAGCCGGCCUGAGAGGGUGUACGGCCACAUUGGGACUGAGACACGGCCCAGACUCCUACGGGAGGCAGCAGUGGGGAAUAUUGCACAAUGGGCGCAAGCCUGAUGCAGCGACGCCGCGUGGGGGAUGACGGCCUUCGGGUUGUAAACCCCUUUCGGCAGGGACGAAGCUUUUGUGACGGUACCUGCAUAAGAAGCACCGGCUAACUACGUG